CCCGUGAAGGUAGUGGUGUCCCAAUUCCUCUUUUCACCUAGGGGGAGGGGGCAUAACGAGGGCUAGGGGCUGAGAAUAGCCCCUUCAAAUCGAGGGAUUUCAGAUGCUGACUUGGCGAGCGAGGGGGUAUGAAAAUUUCCCAGAAUGCUUUUCGUCGUCAUUUGCGGACUGAAUCAAAAAAAAAAACAUGGAGGACAUUUCUUGUUUUUUUGGGAAUAAAAUCAAUAUUUUGAGUUAGUUUCUGCAUAAAAAUGCAUUUUGAUUACAUUUCUCGGCGCAAACCGAUAUUUUACUUUCAUAAUAUUCACUCAGUGAAUGUACAUCAUCCCUUUUUUGUCCGUUGUUCGCUAAGAUCGCGCCGGAAUAUGGUUACGUAACCUACGUAAGCUACGCCGUAGGCUGCGUCUAGCUCGCCGACCGAGGAAAACAUGCUUUGCAGACUCGUCUCGAUUUUGAGCAAGCAAGCAUUUUUUCAUUUUUUUUGAGUCAAAUGGCGAACCGCAAAGAGCAGGAGGAUAUUGAACCCACAAAUGGACUCCGGAUCAGGUCCGACACCUAAUAAGCUUUAGGACUACCAACGAGGAGAAUUUUACAAAGAAGAAAUAUGCUGCUAAACCACUGUGGGAGAAACUCAUCAAAGAGCUGGAACUGGAGGGGAAGGUGACCACAGCACAAAUUGGCAAAAAAUGG